CCCCUCACAGGAUCGCACCUAGAGAGUUUCUAGUAUUCUACCAGUCUUGGCUAAAAGAGAGACAGUCAAGCAGAGGCACACCCAUUCCAUUCGUAGCUUGGUCACUGGCUAGCGAGUGGAAGGCAAUCUGCUACAGGU